AAAUUCUAUAUCUAUCUAUUUUGACAAAUUAGAAUGGUACAGAGAAGAUUAGUAUUACAACUGGUAAAAGUGACACGCAUAGAUCAAGAAAUGAUCCAAUUUUCU